rnacentral:misc_RNA from 1 species
CAACCCUCGAGCCCCUCCGGGGGGUCGGCGUUGGGGAUCGGCUCACACCUGCCGGCCCCGAAAUCCAGUGGCGGACUCGCCGCGGCCUCCCCUGCGCAGUAGCUUUGCACACUCGCAACGGGAGCGCGGCGCGCCCACGGCCGUAAAACGCCCCAAACUUCUGAAAGG